UCACUCUGGUUUCUCUUCAGAUCGUAUAAAUCUUUCGCCUUUUACUAAAGAUUUCCGUGGAGAGGAGCAGUAUGAGUUUUAACUAAUUUUUUGAUGCUCUGCUGUUCAGCAGGGCU
ensembl:snRNA U5 U5 spliceosomal RNA